CCCUCCCUCUCUCUGUUAUCUCUUUCUCUCCCGAUCUGAGCGGCGGCGGCGGCUCCCAUCCUCUUCCUCCACUCCUCUCCCUCAGAUUGAGCUCCGCCCCGAAGUGGAGGAAAGGUACACGGCCAUCGAUCUGUGCGCGUCUAGCCAUCGAGGGCUCCCCCUCUCGCGCUCCUUCUCUGCAAGGAGCGCUAGCAACCCACACGGCAUAGAUCCACUACCCCUGCGUCCGCCCCACACUGGCCGCCGGUGGCUGCCGCAUAGAUCCGUUCCUCCCCCACCUGCUGCACGCGAUGGUGCAUGCUGCCAUGCUGUUUUGGUGCAGCCAGACCGCUGCCCCUACCCUCGCACUCUGGGCAGAGGCUUGUUCUUCUUCGUGGUGACUACACGUUCCUCCCCGGUGGUGGCGCUCUGCCCGCUGUCUUGCGUUUCUCCCAGCGGUUGCGCCCUUCGACCCCUACCUCGAAUCAAUCAAUCCGGCAAUAGAGUUGAAACUGCAAAGAAGCGUGAUGAGGAAAAAGCGGGUUUCGACAUUGGACAUUUGAACAAAAUCAUAUACUGGAGAUUGCUUGUAUUAUAAUAGAAGGUAGUGGAUCAAGAUUUCUUAUAUCUGGGUGAGGGCAUCAAUCAAUGUUGAGACAAGGAAUCUCAUCACUACAAUAUAUAGAUACCAUAGUGGACCAGGCGCGUUCUUGAGCAUAGCUAGACGGAAAAACAUCUUUCCUGAGCUGGCAUGUGAAGCUAACUUGACCCAUCCUGUUUAUUUUGUGAAAUUUAAAUUCAAAAUAAGGGAUGUAUUCACCAGCUAGUCAAUCUCCUUUCAGGAAGAAUAGUAUAAAAAACUCUAUGCUUAGCACACAUCUGCUAUGGAAAGUACAUCAUCAUUAAGCCUAGUUACUUAA